UACGGAGGGUGCAAGCGUUAUCCGGAUUUACUGGGUUUAAAGGGUGUGUAGGCGGACUUUUAAGUCAGCGGUGAAAUCUCCGGGCUCAACCCGGAAACUGCCAUUGAUACUAUUGGUCUUGAAUGUUGUUGAGGUGGGCGGAACGGGUCAUGUAGCGGUGAAAUGCAUAGAUAUGACCCGGAACACCGAUUGCGAAGGCAGCCCACUAAGCAACGAUUGACGCUGAGGCCCGAAAGCGUGGGGAUCAAACAGG
rnacentral:rRNA from 1 species